rnacentral:lncRNA from 1 species
ACCUAUUUUUCUCAGCUGCCCAAUGUGUAGAGUGAAUACACUAAGGAAUUUAAGAGCUUACAAACUGAUUUUUAUGGAAGUCAUCAAGAGUGGAGAAGGCUGAUUUAAAAAUCAACCAUGAUUUUAAACAGGGGCUGAAAACUGUGGCUUACGAGGCAAGAUUGCAAGUUUGUGAAAAGUUUGAGCCAAAGAAAGUAUUCUUUAUGAAGACAAGUAAUUCGAUUUAAAAGGAAAAUUUAAAUGAGGCAUUAGGAACUGAACUGUGAAUUCAAUUAGGCUGUAUAUUGGACUUUCAAAAGAAGCAGUGAAAAACUCUAUAGCUUUUAUUGAGGCAAAGAAAGGACAUGUGUUAAGGCUUUAAGAUACAAGAUACUUCAAUGAAUAAAACAAAGACCUUUGCUUUCCUGAAACUUGAGAUCAAAUGGAGGACACACAAAAACAACGCACCUACAAAUCACCAUAUUGUGUGUCAGGAGCUGAGGAUGCUAUGAAAACCCCUUGAGGAAACAAAGGCACCUUGGGGGCCAUUGAGAACUCCUGACGAAGAGGGCUCAGCUGCCAGACCUGCUCAAGAAAGACCUCAGAAAUCUCUAUGGGGCUGUCAGAAGAAAAGGUUUGAAAAGGGUCUGGAGAGACUGAAAUUUGUCUGCCUUGGACUUUUCUUUUGACAAUUCACAUCCAACUUAAGCAGAAUCAUUGUUUAUUCUUAUUAUGCCAGGUUUCCUUUUCUGGUCUGCAGGUUCUCUAGGGUUUCAUAGGCUAGUAGUUGGAAUUUUCAUAUUUCCAAAGCAUUGGGGAUUUUGCAAAAACAAAAUCUAAAGGAUAUUCAGCAGCACAGUUUACUUAGGAGGUUUUAAUCAUAAUAAUCUGCAUAAUGUAUGAGAAUUUCUACCUCA